UGUUAUUAUGUUUCUGUAACUAGUCAGAAUUUGAUUUUCGUGUCUGUGCUAGCACAGGAAGAUUUUGAAAUUAGCUUCAAUAAAGAUUUUUAUUCUAUUUAUUUACAAAAUAAAUUGAUUGUAUGAGGUCUUUUAAUUGACAGUCUAUAUCACUUGCAUGUUAUACAAAUGUGAAUUUAAAUGAGCAAAUAGUGAGUGCCAUAGGUCAAAAGAGAUCCAGAGAUGAAAUUAACCAGAAGUACUUAUGACAUUAUAGACUAGGCC
rnacentral:lncRNA from 1 species